UCCACUGUAGUCUAGGUGGCUAGAGUAUACGGCUCUCACCCGUACGACCCGGGUUCGAACCCCGUCGGUGGAU
rnacentral:tRNA from 1 species